GAACUCCUCAUGUGAAAGGUUUAUCUCGACUGCUGUCACAAGUCGUGAAAACACUUUGUUUAGUACGAAGAAUAUGUGGCAUUUGGACACGGGUUGGUUUGGCACAUUAACUACUGUGCUGCUGGUGACCUUUUGAGGAUGGACUGAAACAACAGUUGAUAUCAUAGGUAUCCCUUUGGGGAGCUGUCAGGUGCUGUGAGUUGUUGAACUGCAGCAACUCUUUCUCUUGGUUGCUGUGAGUGAACUUGAAGUGAGAGAAGAAUAUAUUCACGUGCAGGCUUGCGCUUCUGAUCAGGCCUUCUGACACCUCGUUUACUGGAAGCUUCCUUUAACUUCACCUGACCAACAUAGGCAACUCCUGCAUUCCCUGGAAAAGUGGCCGAGCCACUCUCUUCAGUUGCGAAGCGCGCAGGACCUUUUUGCGCUCAUUUUGAUCGUCUGGCAGCCGCCUUCCCCAUCACUUUCUGGGCAACUCUAUAGCACUGUGCCAGCCGUGGCCGACGCCGCCAGAUUGAUGACCACACUGUUAAAAAAUCUGUGGAAAAACCACAGAAAAAUUCCCAACAGAGGUGUACAGAUUGUUUCUGUUACAGAAAUUUUCAGUUACUGUGUUACUUUCCGAACAGUCUCUGUGGUUUCAGCACAGAUUUGGACGCACGUUCUGGGCAAAAAAUUGACCAUAGUUUUUCUGUGUUUUUUCCGUGGUUUUUUCUAACAGUGCAGGAGCAGCGCUGGGACCUUGAUGUUCCGCAAGCCUGACAGAGCAGGGGAAGCUCGCCCAGCCGCCAGUGCCGCCGCACUCACCAUCCCGAGCUCUUCUUCGUUCUGAUCUUCAAAGGGGGGAUGCAGCACGCGCCCGCUAGGGUGUAGCGUACUCGGUCGACUUUUAAAUUUUAAAAACGGGCCCCCCUCACUUCAAGCCAUUUUCGAUGUAGUUUCCGGAACUGACCUUGUUUUUUCGCUGAGACAAAGACUUCAGGUUCCUACCUCGCCUCAAAGUUGACAAAUUUCAAUAAUUUGCACUAAAAUCGAAUAAUUCGGGUAAAAAAUAUUUCAAAGCAGUACAGAGACGCUUCGUGAGUGGCAUGUGUUUCUCAUACAUCUAAAAAGAGUUUGGCACCUGUGACCGGCGAUGGGAGAACCGUUUUAGGCCGUUUUAAGGCGACAUUUGUAUAA